GACGAACGCUGGCGGCGUGCCUAAUACAUGCAAGUUGAGCGCUGAAGGUUGGUACUUGUACCAACUGGAUGAGCAGCGAACGGGUGAGUAACGCGUGGGGAAUCUGCCUUUGAGCGGGGGACAACAUUUGGAAACGAAUGCUAAUACCGCAUAAAAACUUUAAACACAAGUUUUAAGUUUGAAAGAUGCAAUUGCAUCACUCAAAGAUGAUCCCGCGUUGUAUUAGCUAGUUGGUGAGGUAAAGGCUCACCAAGGCGAUGAUACAUAGCCGACCUGAGAGGGUGAUCGGCCACAUUGGGACUGAGACACGGCCCAAACUCCUACGGGAGGCAGCAGUAGGGAAUCUUCGGCAAUGGACGAAAGUCUGACCGAGCAACGCCGCGUGAGUGAAGAAGGUCUUCGGAUCGUAAAACUCUGUUGGUAGAGAAGAACGUUGGUGAGAGUGGAAAGCUCACCAAGUGACGGUAACUACCCAGAAAGGGACGGCUAACUACGU
rnacentral:rRNA from 1 species